UGGGGAAUUUUGGACAAUGGGCGCAAGCCUGAUCCAGCCAUGCCGCGUGCGGGAAGAAGGCCUUCGGGUUGUAAACCGCUUUUGUCAGGGAAGAAAUCUUCUGAGUUAAUACCUCGGGGAGGAUGACGGUACCUGAAGAAUAAGCACCGGCUAACUACGUGCCAGCAGCCGCGGUAAUACGUAGGGUGCAAGCGUUAAUCGGAAUUACUGGGCGUAAAGCGUGCGCAGGCGGUUUUGUAAGACAGAGGUGAAAUCCCCGGGCUCAACCUGGGAACUGCCUUUGUGGACUGCAAGGCUUGAGUGCGGCAGAGGGGGAUGGAAUUCCGCGUGUAGCAGUGAAAUGCGUAGAUAUGCGGAGGAACACCGAUGGCGAAGGC
rnacentral:rRNA from 1 species